rnacentral:tRNA from 1 species
GCCGAGGUGGCGAAAUUGGCAGACGCACCAGACUUAGGAUCUGGCGUUGAAAGACGUGCGAGUUCGAGUCUCGCCCUCGGCACCA